UACGAAGGGGCUAGCGUUGUUCGGAUUUACUGGGCGUAAAGCGCACGUAGGCGGAUUCUUAAGUCAGAGGUGAAAUCCCAAGGCUCAACCUUGGAACUGCCUUUGAUACUGGGAUCUUGAGACCGGGAGAGGUGAGUGGAAUUCCCAGUGUAGCGGUGAAAUGCGUAGAUAUUGGGAAGGAACACCAGUGGCGAAGGCGGCUCACUGGACCGGAACUGACGCUGAUGCGCGAAAGCGUGGGGAGCAAACGGG
rnacentral:rRNA from 1 species